rnacentral:rRNA from 1 species
UACGAAGGGGGCUAGCGUUGCUCGGAAUCACUGGGCGUAAAGGGCGCGUAGGCGGCUCAUGAAGGCUGUGGUGAAAGUCCGGGGCUCAACCUCGGAUCGGCCGUGGCGACUCGUGGGCUGGAGCACUGUAGAGGCGGGUGGAAUUCCGGGUGUAGCGGUGGAAUGCGUAGAGAUGCGGAGGAACACCGAUGGCGAAGGCAGCCCCCUGGGCUAACACUGACGCUCAGGCACGAAAGCGUGGGGAGCAAACAGG